AUGGCCUCCACCAAUAGCUGGACCCAUGAGAUUGAGUCGCCGGUCACUGAAUCGCGCCUCUUUCGCGCCGGCGUCAUGGACUGGCACACCCUGGCCCCCAAGCUCGCGCCACAGAUCGUCGCCAGCGCCCACCCUGUUGAAGGAGAAGGCGGCAUCGGGAGGCAGUUCAACUUCACCUCAGCCAUGCCCUUCAACCUCAUGAAGGAGAGGCUCGAGUUCAUUGACGUAGACAAGUGCGAGUGCAAGUCGACCCUCAUCGAGGGUGGUGGCAUCGGCACGGAAAUCGAGAUGGCAACGUCGCACAUUAAGGUGGAGCAGGCGGCCAACGGC
rnacentral:rRNA from 1 species